rnacentral:rRNA from 1 species
GACAGAGGGUGCAAACGUUGCUCGGAAUUACUGGGCGUAAAGAGCGUGUAGGCGGUCUGGUAGGUCCGUUGUGAAAACUCGAGGCUCAACCUCGAGACGCCGAUGGAAACCAUCAGACUAGAGUCCGGAAGAGGAGAGUGGAAUUCCUGGUGUAGCGGUGAAAUGCGCAGAUAUCAGGAAGAACACCCGUGGCUAAGGCGGCUCUCUAGUACGGUACUGACGCUGAGACGCGAAAGCGUGGGGAGCGAACAGG